UAAUAAUCAGUGGGUUAGACUGAAUAAAACUCCGCUUAAAAUCACCUUUCAUUCAUUCGUGUUUAUAAAAUUGUUUUGUAUAGUCAUAAAAUGUCAGGAAAGUAGGCGAUUCUCAAUAUUGUGUCUCCUCAUACGGAGAUCCCUUACGGAUCUCAGUUCCGUCUGUGCUGGUCAAGCGUUACUAAAAAUGGGAAUGAUCUGGAUUGAAGGAUUGGAGCGAGUUCGUUGAACGCAUCCUCCAGUUCAUGAGUAUCAUCAGCUUCAUCUUCUGAGGUGCCUUCCUCCACAUCAUCUUCGAACUCCUCGUCAGACUCUUCGAACUCCUCCUGCUAAUCCUCGAACUCCUCCUCGUCCGCCUGCCUGUGCUCCUCCACGUUCUGCACCAGUUGUGGCACACCAUUCCCAUCGAAGACAUUGCCAUCGAGCCACACGGAUAUGCUGCUAAUAGCGUUUGUAGAUAGUCCAGGGUCUUUUUUACCA